rnacentral:misc_RNA from 1 species
GAUGAAGAACGCAGUGAAAUGCGAUAAGUAAUGUGAAUUGCAGAAUUCAGUGAAUCAUCGAAUCUUUGAACGCACAUUGCGCCCGCCAGUAUUCUGGCGGGCAUGCCUGUUCGAGCGUCAUUUCAACCCUCAGGGCCCUUUUGGACCUGGCGUUGGGGCUCGGCCGCUACCCUGCGGCCGUCCCCGAAAGAUAGUGGCGGUCUCGCUGUAGCCUCCUCUGCGUAGUAGUUACAUCUCGCACUGGAACGCGGCGCGGCCAUGCCGUUAAACACCCCACUUCUCAAGGUUGACCUCGGAUCAGGUAGGAAUACCCGCUGAACUUAAGCAUAUCAAUAAGCGGAGGAA